rnacentral:lncRNA from 10 species
CCCAUUGCUAGGGAACCAGUGUGGUCAUUUGGAGGAACCCAGCCAGCAUGCUUGUGAGAAGCAUGCCUGAGUCCUAGAGAGUCAAUAGUCUCUGAUGAAUGCCACCCAACAGUCAAUAUCAACUGAAAGCCAUCUGCGUGAGCCAUCUCAGUCCAGUCAAGCUAUCAACAUGACUGCAGCAGCACUGGAGACUGCAAGAAAGAAUUGCCCAGCUUAGGCCAGUCAACACACAGGAUUACAAAAGGUAAUUAUAAAUUAUUGUUUCAAGUCACUGAGUUUUUGGAUAACAACAAAUAAAAUGAGCAAUGUAAGUUGGAUAACCUUUAUCCAAAACACUUGGGACCAGAAUUGUUUCAGAUUUCGGAUUUGUUUUUUUGGAUUUUAGAAUAUUUGCACAGACAUAAUAAGAUAUCUUGGGGAUGAAACCAAAGUCUAAAAACAAAAUUUGCUUAUGUUUCAUAUAUACUUUACACACAUAAGCUGAGAUAAUUUUAUACAAUACUUUGAAUAAUUUUGUACAUGAAGCAAAGUUUGUACUAAGUACUUAUGUAUGGAAUUUUCUACUUUUAACUUCAUGUUGGUACUCAAAAAGUUUCAGAUUUUGGAGCAUUUCGGAUUUCAGAUUAUUGUAUUAUGCAUGCUCAAUAUGUACAUGCAAUAUGCCUUAAAACACGCAGAAGUAUACCUACAACUUAAAAUAAUAAGGAAUUCAAAAUGUCAAAUCUGUACAUCUGGAGACAUUUAAUAAACAUAUGUCAACAUUUUAAAAUAGUAAUUAAUCUUCAUUUAUUAACACAAUCCUUGACAUGUAGAAGGUGUUUUGUAAAUAUGUUAAAACAUAGACACAGGCAAGCUGUAGGGUCAAGGAAAGCUUAAAAGAGGGAAGAAUAUUGAAUCUAGGUGAAAAUGAUAGAUAUAUUUUCUCCAGAGCUCUUCAGGAUCCCU